rnacentral:tRNA from 1 species
GUUUAAAUAAUUUAAAUAAAAAAUAUUAAUUUUGUAAAUUAAAAAUAAUUAACUUUUUAAACU